rnacentral:rRNA from 1 species
AUUGAACGCUGGCGGCAUGCUUUACACAUGCAAGUCGAACGGCAGCGCGGGGCAACCUGGCGGCGAGUGGCGAACGGGUGAGUAAUACAUCGGAACGUACCCAGAAGUGGGGGAUAACGUAGCGAAAGUUACGCUAAUACCGCAUACGUUCUACGGAAGAAAGUGGGGGACCUUCGGGCCUCAUGCUUUUGGAGCGGCCGAUGUCUGAUUAGCUAGUUGGGGAGGUAAAGGCUCACCAAGGCGACGAUCAGUAGCUGGUCUGAGAGGACGACCCGCCACACUGGGACUGAGACACGGCCCAGACUCCUACGGGAGGCAGCAGUGGGGAAUUUUGGACAAUGGGCGCAAGCCUGAUCCAGCAAUGCCGCGUGAGUGAAGAAGGCCUUCGGGUUGUAAAGCUCUUUUGUCAGGGAAGAAACGGCCGAGGCUAAUACCUUUGGCUAAUGACGGUACCUGAAGAAUAAGCACCGGCUAACUACGUGCCAGCCGCCGCGGUAA